rnacentral:rRNA from 1 species
AGCGAACGCUGGCGGCAGGCCUAACACAUGCAAGUCGAACGAACCUUUCGGGGUUAGUGUCGGACGGGUGCGUAACACGUGGGAACGUGCCUUUAGGUUCGGAAUAACUCAGGGAAACUUGUGCUAAUACCGAAUGUGCCCUUCGGGGGAAUGCUUUAUCGCCUUUAGAGCGGCCCGCGUCUGAUUAGCUAGUUGGUUGAGGUAAUGGCUCACCAAGGCGACGAUCAGUAGCUGGUCUGAGAGGAUGAUCAGCCACAUUGGGACUGAGACACGGCCCAAACUCCUACGGGAGGCAGCAGUGGGGAAUCUUGCGCAAUGGGCGAAAGCCUGACGCAGCCAUGCCGCGUGAAUGAUGAAGGUCUUAGGAUUGUAAAAUUCUUUCACCGGGGACGAUAAUGACGGUACCCGGAGAAGAAGCCCCGGCUAACUUCGUG